GCUGGCAGCUAGCUUUCGGCAACUCUCACAAUGUCACCCACUGAAAUCAAGCAGGGCUGCACCCGUUCAGUACCGGGAUGGGAGACCACAUGGGAAAGCUAGGUUGCUGCUGGAA
rfam:Danio rerio chromosome 14, GRCz11 reference primary assembly.